AGCGAACGUUAGCGGCGGGCCUAACACAUGCAAGUCGAACGAGAAUGUAGGCUUCGGUCUACUAGUAAAGUGGCGGACGGGUGCGUAACACGUGGGUAAUCUACCUUCCGGCGGGGGACAACAGUCCGAAAGGAUUGCUAAUACCGCAUACGUCAGCGGCGCCUACGGGUGCUGUUGGGAAAGAUGGCCUCUCUUUAGAAGCUGUCACCGGAAGAUGAGCCCGCGCCCCAUCAGCUAGNGGUGAGGUAAUGGCUCACCAAGGCUUAGACGGGUAGCUGGUCUGAGAGGAUGAUCAGCCACACUGGGACUGCGACACGGCCCAGACUCCUACGGGAGGCAGCAGUGGGGAAUAUUGGGCAAUGGGCGAAAGCCUGACCCAGCCACGCCGCGUGAGUGAUGAAGGCC
rnacentral:rRNA from 1 species